rnacentral:rRNA from 1 species
CAUCGAUGGGGAUGCGUUCCAUUAGCUUGUUGGCGGGGUAACGGCCCACCAAGGCAUCGAUGGAUAGGGGUUCUGAGAGGAAGGUCCCCCACAUUGGAACUGAGACACGGUCCAAACUCCUACGGGAGGCAGCAGUGAGGAAUAUUGGUCAAUGGGCGCUAGCCUGAACCAGCCAAGUAGCGUGAAGGAUGACUGCCCUAUGGGUUGUAAACUUCUUUUAUAUGGGAAUAAAGUGCAGUAUGUAUACUGCUUUGCAUGUACCUUAUGAAUAAGGAUCGGCUAACUCCGUGCCAGCAGCCGCGGUAAUACGGAGGAUCCGAGCGUUAUCCGGAUUUAUUGGGUUUAAAGGGAGCGUAGGCGGGUUGUUAAGUCAGUUGUGAAAGUUUGCGGCUCAACCGUAAAAUUGCAGUUGAUACUGGCAUCCUUGAGUACAGUAGAGGUAGGCGGAAUUCGUGGUGUAGCGGUGAAAUGCUUAGAUAUCACGAAGAACUCCGAUUGCGAAGGCAGCCUGCUGGACUGUAACUGACGCUGAUGCUCGAAAGUGUGGGUAUCAAACAGGAUUAGAUACCCUGGUAGUCCACACA